rnacentral:rRNA from 1 species
CGAGGACAGUGUCAGGUGGGCAGUUUGACUGGGGCGGUCGCCUCCUAAAGAGUAACGGAGGCGCCCCAAGGUUCCCUCAGAAUGGUUGGAAAUCAUUCGAAGAGUGCAAAGGCAGAAGGGAGCUUGACUGCGAGACCUACAAGUCGAGCAGGGACGAAAGUCGGGCUUAGUGAUCCGGUGGUACCGCAUGGAAGGGCCAUCGCUCAACGGAUAAAAGCUACCCUGGGGAUAACAGGCUUAUCUCCCCCAAGAGUCCACAUCGACGGGGAGGUUUGGCACCUCGAUGUCGGCUCAUCGCAUCCUGGGGCUGAAGUAGGUCCCAAGGGUUGGGCUGUUCGCCCAUUAAAGCGGUACGCGAGCUGGGUUCAGAACGUCGUGAGACAGUUCGGUCCCUAUCUGUCGUGGGCGUAGGAAAUUUGAGAGGAGCUGUCCUUAGUACGAGAGGACCGGGAUGGACGUACCGCUGGUGUACCAGUUGUUCCGCCAGGAGCACCGCUGGGUAGCUAUGUACGGAAGGGAUAAGCGCUGAAAGCAUCUAAGCGUGAAGCCCCCCUCAAGAUGAGAUUUCCCAAUUAGUAAGACCCCUUGAAGACGACGAGGUAGAUAGGUUGGGGGUGGAAGUGCAGUAAUGCAUGGAGCUGACCAAUACUAAUCGGUCGAGGGCUUAUCCUAA